rnacentral:rRNA from 1 species
UGGGGAAUAUUGGACAAUGGGCGAAAGCCUGAUCCAGCCAUGCCGCGUGUGUGAAGAAGGCCUUUUGGUUGUAAAGCACUUUAAGCGAGGAGGAGGCUACCGAGAUUAAUACUCUUGGAUAGUGGACGUUACUCGCAGAAUAAGCACCGGCUAACUCUGUGCCAGCAGCCGCGGUAAUACAGAGGGUGCGAGCGUUAAUCGGAUUUACUGGGCGUAAAGCGUGCGUAGGCGGCUUUUAAGUCGGAUGUGAAAUCCCUGAGCUUAACUUAGGAAUUGCAUUCGAUACUGGGAAGCUAGAGUAUGGGAGAGGAUGGUAGAAUUCCAGGUGUAGCGGUGAAAUGCGUAGAGAUCUGGAGGAAUACCGAUGGCGAAGGCAGCCAUCUGGCCUAAUACUGACGCUGAGGUACGAAAGCAUGGGGAGCAAACAGGAUUAGAUACCCUGGUAGUCCAUGCCGUAAACGAUGUCUACUAGCCGUUGGGGCCUUUGAGGCUUUAGUGGCGCAGCUAACGCGAUAAGUAGACCGCCUGGGGAGUACGGUCGCAAGACUAAAA